UACAGAGGUCUCAAGCGUUGUUCGGAUUCAUUGGGCGUAAAGGGUGCGUAGGCGGCGCGGUAAGUCGGGUGUGAAAGCCCCGGGCUCAACCUGGGAAUUGCAUUCGAGACUGAAUAGCUAGGGUGCGGUAGAGGGAAGCGGAAUUUCCGGUGUAGCGGUGAAAUGCGUAGAUAUCUGGAGGAACACCGGUGGCGAAGGCGGCAUCCUGGACCAACACUGACGCUGAGUGAGCGAAAGCCAGGGGAGCAAACGGG
rnacentral:rRNA from 1 species